rnacentral:rRNA from 1 species
UACGUAGGGUGCAAGCGUUGUCCGGAAUUAUUGGGCGUAAAGAGCUCGUAGGCGGUUUGUUGCGUCGGCUGUGAAAUCCCGAGGCUCAACCUCGGGUCUGCAGUCGAUACGAGCAAACUAGAGUGUUGCAGGGGAGACUGGAAUUCCUGGUGUAGCGGUGAAAUGCGCAGAUAUCGGGAGGAACACCUAUGGCGAAAGCAGGUUUCUGGACCAUCACUGACGCUGAUCUGCGAAAGCUAGGGGAGCAAACAGG